rnacentral:rRNA from 1 species
UCCCUUAGUAGCGGCGAGCGAACAGGGAAGAGCCCAGCGCCGAAUUCCGCGUCUCAAAGGGCGUUUGGAACAUGUGGCGUUUAGGAGGAAUCUCUCCGAGGGCAGACGGUGUCGCAAGUCCCCCUGAACGGGGCUGUGAUCCAGAGCGGGUGCGAGGCCCAUAGCUGGUACCGUCUCCUUUGGGUGUCCCCUCCUUGGAGUCGGGUUGCUUGGGAGUGCAGCCCUAAUUGGGUGGUAAACUCCACCUAAGGCUAAAUACGUCCGUGAGACCGAUAGCAAACAAGUACCGUGAGGGAAAGUUGCAAAGAACUUUGAAGAGAGAGUUCAAGAGUACGUGAAACCGCUCAGAGGCAAACGGGUGGGCCCACGAAAGCCGAAGGCGGGGGGAUUCAGUCGAGAGGACGGUGGGGCAGGACUGGCUGGUUGGACGGACCGUGCCAGGCCGGGUCAGUUCCCGAGAUCUGCCGCCUUUCGACGCAUUUCCCCCUGCUUAGUAGGACGCCGCAACCGGUUGGCGCUGCAGCCAUAAGGGAGAGUAAAUGGAAGGUAGCCAGUGAGUUCUUCUUCGGAGGCGCGAGCUGGUCCUAAGCCGACUCUCCUGGUGCUUGUGGCCCGACCGUGGUCGUGAGUCCCUCAACGGGAUGUCGCCGAGCCCUCUGACUGGAGCGGGAGAAAUGGCAGGCUGCUUUCCGCGGAAAARAUCGAUCGCUUCACGCGUGCAGUGGGCGAUCUCCGGAGGUAGCUGCUGGUGCGUUUUUCUCCUGCGCUGGGCACAGGCAGUUGGCGGCGAGUAGGUCGGUCACCCACCCGACCCGUCUUGAAACACGGACCAAGGAGUCUAACAUGUGCGCGAGUCAUUGGGUCUUGAACAAGCCCAAAGGCGCAAUGAAAGUGAAGACCAGCACUGAAGCUGGUGGAGUUGGGAAACUGUGUCACUGAAGAUGCAGUUGCACCAACGGCCCGUCCCGUCCGCAUCGUCGGUGGGGCGGAGCGAGAGCGUACACGUUGGGACCCGAAAGAUGGUGAACUAUGCCUGGGCAGGACGAAGCCAGAGGAAACUCUGGUGGAGGUCCG